AUGGAGGGAUUUGUUGGCAAUGCUCUGGAAGCUGCAGCGAGAGUGCAGAAGCAGAUUAGACAGAUGCACUGCAGAGCAAGAUUAAAUUCUUGGAAGAGGCAAUGGCAAACACAGCUAAGGAGAAGUAUUACCUCAGAGAAGAGUAAUUGUAUUGCUGAGGACCUGGAGAUCCUGAGAUCACAAGACAAACAGCUGAAAGAAAAACUAUCAAAAAUGGUGACAGCCCUUGAUAAGAAAGCAUCAACUCUAAUCUCUCAUAAAAAAAGAAUUCUUCAGCUAUUUUCUGAAUGGAUUUUGUGACCUGAUGUAUCUCCCAGAAACCUUCCAAGCUGGACGUUUUGAAGGAUCUAAAGAGGAUUCUUCAAGAAUUAACAAGUUCAGACAGUCACAUUCCCUCCAUGGAUCUGAGCAGCCAUGGUGGGAGAAAAUC
rnacentral:lncRNA from 1 species